GACGAACGCUGGCGGCGUGCUUAACACAUGCAAGUCGAACGGAAAGGCCCUGCUUUUGUGGGGUGCUCUAGUGGCGAACGGGUGAGUAACACGUGAGUAACCUGCCCUUGACUUUGGGAUAACUUCAGGAAACUGGGGCUAAUACCGGAUAGGAGCUCCUGCUGCAUGGUGGGGGUUGGAAAGUUUCGGCGGUUGGGGAUGGACUCGCGGCUUAUCAGCUUGUUGGGGGGGUAGUGGCUUACCAAGGCUUUGACGGGUAGCCGGCCUGAGAGGGUGACCGGCCACAUUGGGACUGAGAUACGGCCCAGACUCCUACGGGAGGCAGCAGUGGGGAAUAUUGCACAAUGGGCGGAAGCCUGAUGCAGCAACGCCGCGUGCGGGAUGACGGCCUUCGGGUUGUAAACCGCUUUCGCCUGUGACGAAGCGUGAGUGACGGUAAUGGGUAAAGAAGCACCGGCUAACUACGUG
rnacentral:rRNA from 1 species